rnacentral:rRNA from 1 species
GAUGAACGCUGGCGGCGUGCCUAAUACAUGCAAGUCGAGCGAACGGACGAGAAGCUUGCUUCUCUGAUGUUAGCGGCGGACGGGUGAGUAACACGUGGAUAACCUACCUAUAAGACUGGGAUAACUUCGGGAAACCGGAGCUAAUACCGGAUAAUAUUUUGAACCGCAUGGUUCAAAAGUGAAAGACGGUCUUGCUGUCACUUAUAGAUGGAUCCGCGCUGCAUUAGCUAGUUGGUAAGGUAACGGCUUACCAAGGCAACGAUGCAUAGCCGACCUGAGAGGGUGAUCGGCCACGCUGGAACUGAGACACGGUCCAGACUCCUACGGGAGGCAGCAGUAGGGAAUCUUCCGCAAUGGGCGAAAGCCUGACGGGGCAACGCCGCGUGAGUGAUGAAGGUCUUCGGAUCGUAAAACUCUGUUAUUAGGGAAGAACAUAUGUGUAAGUAACUGUGCACAUCUUGACGGUACCUAAUCAGAAAGCCACGGCUAACUACGUG